rnacentral:rRNA from 1 species
GUAACAUAACUAGCUUGCUAGUUGAUGACGAGUGGCGGACGGGUGAGUAAUGCUUGGGAAUUUGCCUUGAGGUGGGGGACAACAGUUGGAAACGACUGCUAAUACCGCAUAUUGUCUACGGACUAAAGGGGGCUUUAAGCUCUCGCCUUUAGAGAAGCCCAAGUGGGAUUAGGUAGUUGGUGAGGUAAAGGCUCACCAAGCCGACGAUCCCUAGCUGGUCUGAGAGGAUGAUCAGCCACACUGGAACUGAGACACGGUCCAGACUCCUACGGGAGGCAGCAGUGGGGAAUAUUGCACAAUGGGCGCAAGCCUGAUGCAGCCAUGCCGCGUGUGUGAAGAAGGCCUUCGGGUUGUAAAGCACUUUCAGUCGUGAGGAAGGGUUAGUAGUUAAUACCUGCUAGCUUUGACGUUAGCGACAGAAGAAGCACCGGCUAACUCCGUGCCAGCAGCCGCGGUAAUACGGAGGGUGCGAGCGUUAAUCGGAAUUACUGGGCGUAAAGCGUACGCAGGCGGUUAGUUAAGUCAGAUGUGAAAGCCCCGGGCUCAACCUGGGAACUGCAUUUGAAACUGGCUAACUAGAGUGCGGCAGAGGGUGGUAGAAUUUCAGGUGUAGCGGUGAAAUGCGUAGAGAUCUGAAGGAAUACCGAUGGCGAAGGCAGCCACCUGGGCCGACACUGACGCUCAUGUACGAAAGCGUGGGUAGCAAACAGGAUUAGAUACCCUGGUAGUCCACGCCGUAAACGAUGUCUACUAGCAGCUCGCCUCGUUUAGAGGGGUUUUGCGCAGCUAACGCGUUAAGUAGACCGCCUGGGGAGUACGG